UCCGAUCGCCGCGUAAAUAUACCGGCUCCGUCUCCCGACAAAAUCCGGAUUAACAACGGCGAAAUCGAGGUUCCUGGCGGAGAUCGGAUGACGUGUCACGAUUCCGGUGACGAGAUCGAUCUUCACCUUCUCCACCAAAGCGUGAACCAGAUCCAUCCUCUCCAGAGUAUGCUCAAUCGACAUAAUAUUCGGAGCAAUUAAAACGAUCGAAUCUCCAUCGUCUUCGUCCCAAGCGUUAAUGGCGUGAAUGAUGUUGAAUCCAGGAACCUCGAACCAUUUCAUCUCCGAUUCGUCUCCGGCGUAGCGCGGAAUCACUCCGAUCCUCGGCGUUUUUCCGUUAUCUGUACCAACCGGAGAUCCUCCUUCAAACACCAGAUCCAUCGGAUUCAUCCUCAUCCCGAGCUGAAUCUCCGCGAAAAUCGCGUGACGUUUCGUGAUCGCGAAGUCGUGUAAGAAAGACGGAGACGUCAUCGAGAAAACCGGUACGUCUCUCUGUUUCCUACCGGCGGAAUCGAACCGGAAAAACGUUAGAAAUGGCGGAACCGGACCGUACCGGAACGCGAAAGUCUCUCCGGUUUCAGGAUCGGUUUUCGGGUGAGCCGUCAUGCUCAUCGCUAACUUCCC
rnacentral:lncRNA from 1 species